rnacentral:rRNA from 1 species
CUUUGUGAAUGAGUGCAUUAUGGAGGGAGGCACUUCUAGAGAGCAAAGGAAGGGGUCCUUCCAAAGGUUGUGUUCGCUGGGGGCGGGGAAAGGACGACGAGGCGGCGGCGGAUAAAGAGACGGUUUAGGUGGGGCGCGGCGACGGGCACAGGCACGGGAGAAGUAGAGGCCAGGGCGCGAGGUAGAGGAGGUCGGAGUAUAGGGGGCUAGAAGAGCUAAACCUAGAGCCCUCGCGUGCCCUCCCUCCGCUCCACGGACAACGACCCUCUCCCCGCUACUCCUCAUAGCCGGGAACCUAGAAAGGCAGAGCGCUCCGGUCCGGAGGGCAGGCACCGCGCUGCGGCGGCCGUACCUCCGGGGCCGAGCCCGUCGGCGGCGUCACAGCCCACGCGGCCACUCCAGAGCCCAUGCGCGCUACCCGCACUGGAGAGGACCGAGGGGCGGGAGCAGGCGCUGUUGUUCCUGGUUCUACGUAAAUGCCACAACAGACCACGCGGCAGUCCAAACCAACCAGCUCCGGUCCAUACAAGGACUCCGACAAACUACCUACCUACACACGUGCAUACAUACAUGAGGGAGGCAAGGACUUAUAAACAGAAAGAUCUGUAAAGUUGUUCACUGAUGUGUGCCUCGUUUUACUCACUUAGAUGUGAGAUUUUAUACAGAUGUAUGUAGGCAUACACCAUCAGUAAACUUUACAGAUCUUUCUGUUUAUAAAUCCUUGCCUCUCUCAUACAUCAUACAUGCAUACCUAUAGACCCAGUACAACGACCCACCCGUUUCUGCCCCCAUGUUGGAGGAAAAGUCAAUUUUUACUCCCCGCUACUACUGCUGAGACCGACUUUAUUCGUACAGAACUCGUUAGUUCUAACAACACCGGACCCAUGAUUUAAUCUCGGGUGGAAAUGGAGAACGUCGGACAAGUUAAGUAGCUUUUACAACCUACAAGACGCGGAGCCGACCAGUAAGACUGCUCACUAUUGGUCCCGUCAAGCAAAUGUAACGCUAUCCAUACAAUACGUCGUUCUCUAGAUUCACAACCCGAACUUCUAGUUUCUGCCUUGACUCGGGAGAAAACGAUACGAUGUUUAUGUGUUUAAAAGGAAUAGAUGAUAUGUCACAAGAAGAAAGUCAAGAUAAAGAGAUAAGACAACUACACUCACUUCUAGAUAGACUUGAACCCUAAAUACAGAAGAAAACCACUACUUGAGUUGGUGGGAUUCGGAUGUACCUAACUAGAUAUCAACCCAAACAAAACGGAAAGAUCAACAUAUAUGAUAUACAUAAUGUGCUGACAGUAAAAAGAGGUUACGGACAUCGAUGACCGUCAAAAUAAGGACACCAAUUGUUGUAUGACAACAGGACAAACAGAACAAUCAUUCGUACAAUCGAAAACGGUCUACGAAGAAGUUUCUGCUUGAAGCUAGGAGGUGCCCUAACGUUUCUCAACAGUAAUUGUGUCUAACGGAUUUACACGAUAGAUAAAACCAGUCUCGUCUGGGAAACAAUACUGGGAGAAACGAUAAAUCAAGUGACCAGUAGUUAGAGAAAAAUUCAACGACGACAGUUAUAAUUGACGGUGUAACUAAUAAUCUUAGUGUACUACGUAAUCACGCCAUGUCUAGGGAGUGUCCAACAAAUUUUACUCUCACAGUUCAUUUAAAUAGUCGACCUUUAAAAAAACCCAAUUUUUACAAGAAUAUAAAAAAGAUUAGUACUUACUUUCAGGAGAACCUCGAAAACGAACCCGGUAAACCCUAAACAUACAACGGUAAAGGGGGGAAGUGUAAUAUACAAAAUUUUAAAUAAAUCACCAGAACGAAACCAAAAACAAAAGUAAAACGGUUUCUAACGUGAUACCUUUGGUAGGAGACAGAGAGAUAGUUAUGGUGACAGAAACAGUGGUAGAAGCUUGUAGUGCCGUAAUUAAACUAAACUAUGGAGUAUAAGAAAUGAAGUGUGAGAAUCAUUAAGGAAUAAGCAUUUAUAACAAAGAUUUCAACGUAUAGAGACACUAGUAUCUGUAGGCUACCAAGGUGUAAAAGAACCAUUCACAUCAGUUAGUUUUCUUGUUUUACGUGAUUUAAUGAUCUCCGGAAGGAUAAAUAUGUAAUAUAGAUACCAUAACUAAUAGAUACGAAAUACGAGACGGGUACCGGCCCGCCAAAGUCACUAAGAGGAGACAACGUCGUUCGGUAGUGAUGUUGAAAUACUAAUACUACAUAUAUAUACGCGUUUAUACAAAGACAAAAAUGUAACUAUUUUGUACACAAAUCAACAUGACCGGUUCUUAUCAAGAUACUAAGUACGAAUAUCAAAUGACAUUGAUGAAGAUGACUACCGAAUAUAAAAAUAUCUGACUGCUAUUAACACUCGACUCGGAAUACCCUCCGGUGAGUGAUCUAUUUAUAUUACCUAACCCCACGGGGUAACUCAUCGAAGACUUUGCCCGGAAUGAGAAACCAAAGAUGAAGGUGCCGUCGUACCACAUCCUACGUCGUACUGUGACACAUUCCAUGACUACCAGAGACUCCACUCGAGAAAUAGACAUAGAUUGUAACGAGACAGAGGGAAGCGUUCAUAUUACUGUAAAAUCACCUAGACUUAAAACACAACUGACUGACCUUCAGUACCAAGACAAGUUAACUAAGUAUAUACAGAGACUUAAAGGAAUAUAAAAGGACACACACUAGUAAACAUGACCUUCAAUAACAUGUACGUGGAGGUAGGUAUCGUACGGUUGUUACACUUAAUCGACUAAUCCUAAAAUAUAUAAGGAAAGUGGGAAAGAUACCAUCAAUCAUGGUACAUCAAAUAAUUUAGGUAAUAGUUCUACAUCCAAUAGGAAAACGUGCCGUACGGAUUUUCACUUAUAGUGGCAUAUCUAUACGACGAUUACAAUACUCACAAAAAAAACGUACGACUUUGACUAACAUGGUUUGGUUAGGGUCACCCUCGUGAAACACAGAUACCACCACUUAUAAAACAACACUAGUUUUGAAUAAAAUAACGAGGGUCAAACCCUUUAUAAAAAAAGUCUGUGAACUCUAUCAAAAAAAAAAUUUAUCCUCGAGUAAUAUUAAACAAAAACAGACACGUAGUCGACGAUAAAGUCAAUUACGAACCAACACGGAUCUCUUAUUGUCCCUUCAAAACAUACACCACUAGGAGUUUUGAAGGAUUAUCUAGUCACCUCAUCCUUCCGAACGUACUCAAACGUGUUGUUAGAACUUGCGAAUGGUUUGAUCGGACUAGUAUACAACUUCGUUUUUAUACAUACUGACAUCCUCAAGUCUCAUGAUGCACUUAACGAGUUCCCAGUGUGGUGUUGCUGACGAUCUCGUCCGAAGUGGAGUCCGCGAGAGGGAUUGAGAAAAUGUACAACUACUGGUGAAGUGUGUGGUUACGUACUCAGUUUACCGACCAUUGUUUAAGGGUGCAAAUUAAUCGGAAACGAAGAGGUAAAAGUUGGGGGGACCUUCACAAAGCAAGGAACUGGAGGAGAAUGACUCAUGAAUUUCCGAACCUAUACAGAGAACACUACGUCAACAUAUAACGCCUCAGAAAGAGGUAGUGGUGUAGCCGAUAGAGCCGAAAAAGAAUGGGAAAAUAGGAAAUGAUUUAUCGGGUGUAAAGUAUGAGGCUAACGUGAAAAGAUGAACAUGGGAGACUACGUGAUGUAAAAAGACCUUUCAAAAUCCUAGAAACUUAAGACGUCCGUAGGAGGAAUUGAUUAAAGACGUGGUAUCAUAUUUCAUGUUGUUCAGGAGAGUAUAAGUUAAAAGACGAGUGAUUGUUUCUGUCUCUAAUUCGAUUGGAUAAGUCUGUGGGUGUACAAGAUUCAACGGAUGAAAGAGAAUGGUGUACUGACGUUAAGAAGUUUGAUACAACGAAAAAUUAGUAGUCUCAAAAUUAUUAAAGGUCAAGACGGUCGUAUUUAAUUAAACAAAACAGUUGAUUAAUAUUUGUUGUAGUACAAUUGCACUUAAAACCAAGUGGAUGUGAGUAAGACUGUAAAAGUGGUAUUUAUAAAAUGUACGUUAACAGAAACAGCAACCAGUACCUGCCCAAACCAACACCAUGUGAACACAUGUCGGGACAUUCAAUAGUUCAUGAAACCAAAGGAUAAAAAACGUUAUAUCUUAGACAGUACUACGUAAAAGAAGACGCCAGAAUAAAUCCACUCAUGGUCGCAGAGACUUUGAAAAAGUCUUAUGUCAUUACUCCGACGUAAACAAAAGUACCGGCCGGCUACGACGCACCUAGGCCAAGUUGCUCCAGCAGCCGCUGUACGACGACCUCGCCCUCUCGUCCUAUACUAGAGAUACCGUUCAACUUUUAUCAACAACGGAUAUCGACUACCAACACCAGGAGGUUGGACCGAUAGAGAACAACGUCUUAGUCGUUUCGUUUCUUUCCUGAGUAACAACCAGAAUAACCGGGACUAGUAGGUAAGUGUUUGUUAAUGACACAUACCCUUCUGCUUAAGUUUCAUCGUGUAAAAACGCCGACACUUUACGUUGUAGUACAAACCUAUCGACUGGUUUUUCCUAGAGGAACUUUUUGACUUUAUAAAUACAUUGUGAUAUACGAGGAGAGAACCAAAAAACCUUAAUGUACUAUACAAAAAGAACAAGGAAAAGUUAUACUCCUUAUGCUUUUUUUCAUGGAACUUACUCAACAUUUAUUUUAUUUACUAAGACUUAAAUAGUUAUAACUUGCUCUGUAAACUUACACAAGUUAUCCGAUACGACUAACUGGACCCUUUACUGUUACUAUAGAAACCCUUUCGAAAUCUUUCAUAUUGAAGACGUUGUAGACAUGGAUGACGUCUAGAACGCUCAUAACUAGUCGAAGACCUUUGUCAUGCAGCUAUGGUUCUUCUACUUAUAAGAAAACACAUUUUUUGUACAGGGAAACUAACUAAACCCGCACAACGAUUUGUAACAUGACGAAGGGGUAUACUGAUGGUGGAGACUAUUUAGAGGAAAACUAAGUCAAGAUAUAAUAACAAACAAAGGUUCAUAAAGAGUGAGUCCAAAGACUAUUUACAUCAUCUACAGCCGUUGACGUUACGUCUUGUCUACUCACCACAUUCCUCCACAACGUCACCCUGUAACGUUGACGAGGGUCUAGUUAAGUUUGAGGUAAACUUACAAAAUCAAGUAGUUACGAAAACUAAUAUAAAAAAUGUAUCAUUACCCCAAUGUGAAUAAGAGCUCCGGGAUAAUUUCUCAUAAGACUUAACAUAAGUAACGAAGUACAUGGAUAAAUAUACAGAAUACUCAUAAGACUUAACAUAAUACAUAACAUGCAAUUGUUUAUGCCGUUGUACUAAUCGGACGGAACCAGACGAA